AACAAGACCACAGUUCUAAUAUCUUGAGGAUGUUAUGAAACGGAAGCUAGUGCUCUUGUUUUUGAAUAUGAAGGCACAGAGUUUUUGAUUGAUGCUCCUAUGCACAAAAUUUAAUAUUGUUCAAUCUGGUGUGAGACGAAGUAUGUUUUGCUAGAGAUGGACAGGAUCUUGCGACCGAGUGGAUAUGUUAUAAUCCGAGAAUCGAGUUAUUUCAUGGAUGCAAUCACAACAUUAGCCAAGGGGAUGAGGUGGAGUUGCAGGAGAGAGGAGUCUGAGUAUGCAGUCAAAAGCGAGAAGAUUCUGGUUUGCCAGAAAAAGCUAUGGUUUUCGUCCACUGUAUCAAAGUUUUAAAACUGGUUAUCAUGUUGGACAUUGAAUGUUAAUCCUAGUGUUUCUCUAUGGCAGUUUCAAAACUGGUAA